AGUACAGUGCAGCACCAAAAAUUGUACAACAUUGUUAUAAUACAGUGCUAAUGCAAUACAACAUAAUACAAUACACCAACAUAAAAAUAAUGCAAUACAACAUAAUACAAUACAGUGUGACAAACACACCCAAAGAGUCUUUGUUCUCCAUUAUUGUUUGCAAAAAUGGUGUCACUCAUUGACUAAUUGACUCAUCGUGACAUGAAGUCACAAAAUUUUCUAGUAGAUAAAGAGUGCGUUUGGAAUUGAGGUUUGACAUAUCUAGUUUCCAAGCUACAGUAUUAAAGUGUUUGGUAAACAUCAACUGUUGUAACUUGAAAGUUAUGUUAAUGUGAUUUUUCACUUGUAUAAUAGAAAAUUUUUUAUAUCUUUAAUAAUUUUGUCAAAAUUAUUAUUUAAAAUUUAUAUUUACUAUAUAUUAUUAACUUUUAUUUCAUAAUUAUAGCUUUUUUUCCAUAACAGUUGUAACUUAAAAGUUACAGCACCUUAAUCCCAAACACACUCAAAGACAUGAAUGGACAAAGCUGUUCGAUGGAAAAAUUUCUUUACGUAACCAAACUAUAAUUAUUGCUCCUAGCAAUGCUCGAUCAUUUGUACAGAUAUUAGAUAUUAAAUGAGUGUUUCAAAUAAACAAGUGUUAGAGCAAAUUUUAUCCAAAGAUUUUAUCGUAAAUGAUCUGACAUUUAUUUAUUGAUUGGUAAAAUGAUAUAAUUAAUUUACUUAAAAUUUAUGAAAAAUCAGUAACCACUUAA
rnacentral:lncRNA from 1 species